UCUUUUUCAUUUUUUUUUUCUUUUCAGGCAAAGCAGUGGCUAGAAGAAAUGAGCUGGUCAAGGCAGGCCCAAGGAGACUCUAGAACGGCAUGGGAUAAAGCUAAGGAAUGGAUAAAAAAGAUAUUCAACAGAAUCAUAACGGCGUGGGAUAUAGCUAAGAAAUGCAUAAAAAUGAUAUUCGACGCAAUCAGUAAGUGUACUGGAUCCCAUUGCUCUUGUCUGUGGCCAUCCUUGGGAACCC